rnacentral:rRNA from 1 species
CCUACGGGAGGCAGCAGUGGGGGAUAUUGCACAAUGGGGGAAACCCUGAUGCAGCGACGCCGCGUGGGUGAAGAAGCGCCUCGGCGCGUAAAGCCCUGUCAGCAGGGAAGAAAAUGACGGUACCUGAAGAAGAAGCCCCGGCUAACUACGUGCCAGCAGCCGCGGUAAUACGUAGGGGGCAAGCGUUAUCCGGAUUUACUGGGUGUAAAGGGGGCGCAGACGGCGAUGCAAGCCAGUAGUGAACGCCCGGGGCCCAACCCCGGGACUGCUCUUGGAACUGCGUGGCUAGAGUGCAGGAGGGGCAGGCGGAAUUCCUGGUGGAGCGGUGAAAUGCGUAGAUAUCAGGAGGAACACCGGUGGCGAAGGCGGCCUGCUGGACUGCAACUGACGUUGAGGCCCGAAAGCGUGGGGAGCAAACAGGAUUAGAUACCCCAGUAGUC